rnacentral:rRNA from 1 species
AUGAGAAGCUGAGGAGCACGCCGCGUGAGUGAAGAAGGUUUUCGGAUCGUAAAACUCUGUUGUAUUUGGAAGAACACGGUACGAGAGUAACUGCUCGUACCUUGACGGUACCUUAUUAGAAAGCCACGGCUAACUACGUGCCAGCAGCCGCGGUAAUACGUAGGUGGCAAGCGUUGUCCGGAAUUAUUGGGCGUAAAGCGCGCGCAGGCGGUUCUUUAAGUCUGAUGUGAAAGCCCACGGCUCAACCGUGGAAGGUCAUUGGAAACUGGAGAACUUGAGUACAGAAGAGGAAAGCGGAAUUCCACGUGUAGCGGUGAAAUGCGUAGAGAUGUGGAGGAACACCCGUGGCGAAGGCGGCUUUCUGGGCUGUAACUGACGCUCAAGCACGAAAGCGUGGGGAGCAAACAAGAUUAGAUACCCUGGUAGUCCCCGCCCUAAACGAUGACUGCUAAGGUGUUGGGGGGUU